rnacentral:lncRNA from 1 species
CCCGAGUAGCUGGGAUCACAGGCAUGUGCCACUACACCCAGCUAAUUUUUUUUUUUUUUUUUUUUUUUUUGUAUUUUUAGUAGAGAUGGGAUUUCACCAUGUUGGCCAGGCUGGUCUUGAACUCCUGACCUCAGGUGAUCCACCUGCCUCGGCCUCCCAGAGUGCUGGGAUUAUAGGCGUGAGCCACCACGCCCGGCCUGUUUCCUUUGGUUUAAAGUGGAUUCGAAUCAGUGUUAAAUCAGAAAAUCAGGGUUUUCUAGGAAAUUGGGAAUUAGUUGCCAGAAAGGAAACUGAACUAUGCAGAAGGAGUUAAGAGCUGGGAUGAGGCUGGAUGGGGUGACUGACAGUCUGGAUCAUUGAAACUGAUUGGGUGGUUGGUCAGAAACGGGUCCAGAUGAGGAUGAGGCUGGAUGGGGUGACUGACAGUCUGGAUCAUUGAAACUGAUUGGGUCGUCAGAAACUGGUCCAGAUGAGGCUGGAUGGGGUGACUGACAGUUUGGAUCAUUGAAACUGAUUGGGUGGUCAGAAACGGGUCCAGAUGAGGAUGAGGCUGGAUGGGGUGACUGACAGUCUGGAUCAUUGAAACUGGUCCACUAUGACGCAGCAGGGGCAGUUUGGCAGAGCAUCCUCUUCCCUUGUCCUUGUGAAAGAACACAGGAAACAUUUGGGUUUUACAGCUUUUCACACCCUACUAUCAGGCAUCAGAAUCAAAAUUAGUUACUAAAUUGGGUGAAUUUUUGGAAACCUGCAUUUCUAUUCAUCUGCUAUUCCAGAAAAAAAUGGGAAUGUAUUACAGGAGAGUUACCUCACAGUGUCUUAUGUUGUGGAACCUGAAGCAUAACCACGUGUUUUCUUAUAUGAUCAUUUGUGUUGAUACUGCUUUUAUUUGAGUUUAUGAACAGAAAUAGAAAGUAUGGUGCUUGGGUUUUGCCCUUUCUUACUCCUGAAAGUUAAAUCAGAAGACACUGAUUUCAUUUUGUGAAAUUUAGCUCAGAGACGAUUGAUCUUUUGUUUCAUUAAUAUGAACAACUAUUAGUAAAAAAAUAGCUUUAACAGCAUUUCUGCUGAUAUCUAGUAAUCUAUUCUUUUAAUGUGAAAAUACGAUAAAAUGUCCUGGAGCUAAUUCUAGCUUAAAUUUGCCAGUAUUUCUUCUGUAUGUCAUUAAGUUUUUUUCCUCUAAGGUUGGUAAUAGAAUUUUGUUAAUCUUUGCAUACCUGAUGGCAUCUAUGUCAAUGCUGAUUGGGUAAUUAUAAAUUCUGUGCUCAUUUAAAACUUAAUUUGCCUCUUAAGGUGAUUGUCCUCUGAGUAAUGAUUGUAGUUAAAUGAAGUAUAGCUUGCAACUAUACUAUCACAUGGGUUGUUAAGUAAAAAUAAAUAAACCAAAUUUGUCUGAGACAGGCUAAGAUCAAUCUUCUCAUCAAACCAGUUUUUCUCUAAGAGCAAUUUCACUUUAAGUUUUAGGGUGGACAUUCUUGAAUGCCUCAAAUUAAACGUUAUCUAUUUAAUCUUCCUGGAAUAGUCUGUGACCAAAAAGGAGGGUGUGAUAUAUUUAGGUGUAAAUAUAUCACAUAUAUGGUGUGAUAUAUUUGGGAUUUAUAUAUUCAGCUCAUUCUCUGUGAAGAAGUCUUCCUGACUAAAAUUGGUUUCAAGAUAAACUAAUUUCUGUUAGUAUUUCUACUCUGCCUACCAUGUAUGCCUUUUUGUUAGAAACUAAUAAAUGUAUCAGUCACUAGCAGGUACUGGUCCUUUUUCCUCUCAUUUUUGUGGAAAGGAUAUGCAAACGUUGAAUUUCUCAGGGAGUACUAAGGCUGUG